CCUACGGGCGGCUGCAGUGGGGAAUCUUGCGCAAUGGACGAAAGUCUGACGCAGCGACGCCGCGUGAGUGAUGAAGGCCUUCGGGUUGUAAAGCUCUGUGGGGAGAGACGAAUAAGGUGCAGUUAAUAUCUGCAUCGAUGACGGUACCUCCUUAGCAAGCACCGGCUAACUCUGUGCCAGCAGCCGCGGUAAGACAGAGGGUGCAAACGUUGUUCGGAAUCAUGUGGGGUGUAAGGUGAGUCGGAUGUGAAAGCCCCGGGCGCAACCUGGGAAGUGCAUUCGAUACUGUUUGACUUGAGUACUGGAGAGGUGGGUGGAAUUCUCGGUGUAGAGGUGAAAUUCGUAGAUAUCGGGAAGAACAUCUGUGGCGAAGGCGGCCAACUGGACAGAUACUGACGCUGAGACACGAAAGCGUGGGGAGCAAACAGGAUUAGAUACCCCGGUAGUC
rnacentral:rRNA from 1 species